GCUAAGGUAGCAUAAUCAUUUGUCUUAUAAUUAAAGACUAGAAUGAAAGACUCAACGAAUAAAGAAUUUAAAACACAUAAAACAACUAAAUUAAAUUUAUUGUAAAAAUACAAUAAUACAACAAAAAGACGAUAAGACCCUAAUGAACUUAACAAAUGUUCAACUGGGGCAGUAUUUUUAUAAAAAUUUUAAACUAAAUCAUUACAAACCAUACUUAUAAUAACAGAACAAGUUACCAUAGGGAUAACAGCGCAAUUUUUUUCUAAAGUUCUUAUACAAAAAAAAGAUUACGACCUCGAUGUUGAAUUAAUUAACCUAAUAAAAGCAAAAUUUUAUAAGAAAGUCUGUUCGACUUUUAAAUAAUUACAUGAUCUG
rnacentral:rRNA from 1 species